rnacentral:rRNA from 1 species
GAUCAUGGCUCAGGAUAAACGCUGGCGGCACACAUAAGACAUGCAAGUCGAACGGAAGCCGUUAUAAAAAGGAUUGAAGAUUUAUCUGAUUGAGAUUUUGUAACAAUGGCUUUAGUGGCGGACUGGUGAGUAACGCGUGAGCAACCUGCAUACUAGAGGGGAAUAACAGUGAGAAAUCAUUGCUAAUACCGCAUAUGCCAUGAACAUCACAUGAUGAAAAUAGG